rnacentral:rRNA from 1 species
CCUACGGGAGGCAGCAGUGGGGAAUAUUGCACAAUGGGGGAAACCCUGAUGCAGCGACGCCGCGUGAGUGAAGACGUAUUUCGGUAUGUAAAGCUCUAUCAGCAGGGAAGAAAAUGACGGUACCUGAUUAAGAAGCCCCGGCUAACUACGGGCCAGCAGCCGCGGUAAUACGUAGGGGGCAAGCGUUAUCCGGAUUUACUGGGUGUAAAGGGAGCGUAGACGGCAGCACAAGUCUGGAGUGAAAUGCCGGGGCUUAACCCCGGAACUGCUGUGGAAACUGUGCAGCUAGAGUGCAGGAGAGGUAAGUGGAAUUCCUAGUGUAGCGGUGAAAUGCGUAGAUAUUAGGAGGAACACCAGUGGCGAAGGCGGCUUACUGGACUGUAACUGACGUUGAGGCUCGAAAGCGUGGGGAGCGAACAGGAUUAGAUACCCGAGUAGUC